GUGCGAGACCGAUAGCGAACAAGUACCGUGAGGAAAAGAUGAAAAGAACUUUGAAAAGAGAGUUAAAGAGUACCUGAAACUGCUGAAAGGGAAGCGAAUCGUAUCCAGUGUCUAUAAUCUGCGGCAUAUUUCAUUGGCGGCAGUGUGCGUGCUUUUGCGUCGGAAGCGGCUUUUGUUGCUCUGUGCUUUUGCUGAGCGUGGCGUUGCUGGUGCCCUGUGUUGCGGUGGGACGUCAGAGUCAGUUUGUAUGCUGCGGGAAAUGGCUGCCGAGGAGGUAGGUCGAGAUUUCGGUCUUGGCUGUUAUAUCUUGGUGGUUUGUUGUCGUGGUUGAGACUGAGGUGCCUACAAUGUGCUUUUGAGUGUACCGGGUCCUCAUUUGGUGGACUGUUUGGAUAGCUUGCUAUGCUUGUGGUUUUUUCAUCGAGUGAUUGAGUCUGGUGGUAACUUGUUGCUGUUCGGGACUUUG
rnacentral:rRNA from 2 species